UACGUAGGGGGCAAGCGCUAUCCGGAUUUACUGGGUGUAAAGGGAGCGUAGACGGCAGGGCAAGUCUGGAGUGAAAGGCAGGGGCCCAACCCCUGGACUGCUCUGGAAACUGUCCGGCUGGAGUGCAGGAGAGGUAAGUGGAAUUCCUAGUGUAGCGGUGAAAUGCGUAGAUAUUAGGAGGAACACCAGUGGCGAAGGCGGCUUACUGGACUGUAACUGACGUUGAGGCUCGAAAGCGUGGGGAGCAAACAGG
rnacentral:rRNA from 1 species